rnacentral:rRNA from 1 species
AACGAACGCUGGCGGCAUGUCUAACACGUGCAAGUCGAACGAGACCUUCGGGUCUAGUGGCGCACGGGUGCGUAACGCGUGGGAACCUGCCCUUAGGUUCGGAAUAACUCCCCGAAAGGGGUGCUAAUACCGGAUAAUGUCUUCGGACCAAAGAUUUAUCGCCUUUGGAUGGGCCCGCGUUGGAUUAGCUAGUUGGUAGGGUAAAAGCCUACCAAGGCGACGAUCCAUAGCUGGUCUGAGAGGAUGAUCAGCCACACUGGGACUGAGACACGGCCCAGACUCCUACGGGAGGCAGCAGUGGGGAAUAUUGGACAAUGGGCGAAAGCCUGAUCCAGCAAUGCCGCGUGAGUGAUGAAGGCCUUAGGGUUGUAAAGCUCUUUUACCCGGGAUGAUAAUGACAGUACCGGGAGAAUAAGCUCCGGCUAACUCCGUG